CCCCCAGCCGGGAAUUGAACCCAGGUCCUUCUUACUGCAAGGCAACAGUGCUACCAACUGCGCCACCAUGCAGCCCGAGAUGAAUUGUGUAUUUUAAAAUUUAACUCCUUUGAAAUAUUUUAUCAUUGUCUUGGAGAUACCUCUCAUUUUCUGUUAGAAACAAGCUUCUUGGUUUAAGAAAAAUACUUUAAAAUACUUUAAAACCUAAAUCUCAAUUUUGGGCCUAAAUGUAUGUGACUUUAAUCAGUAUCUAAUGAUUUUGGUUGUAUCAAAAGUCAUAGUCUACAUACAUACCACCAUAUAAUCUACUUAUGACUUAACUGGCCCAUCCAGCAUCAGAACCACUGAUUUUAGCCAAUAUUAUUCAUGUUAUAUUAAUCAGUGGAACUAGGAUUUACAAAUGAAUCUAUUAUUAUAUAAUUAUUCUUUAUCUGCAUAGUUAAUGAAAAUACUUGAUUACGAAGAGAGGUUAACUAAUACGCAUUUGUAAAGUACAUGAGUGCAAAAAUAGUAAACACUGGAGGAAUGCUGGGAUGAAAUAGAAACACAUGGACACAAAUUGAGGGCAUGAAUUGGCAAAAGGGAGAGUUGAUCAUAUAUUUCUACAGGAACACCAAAUUUGUAUUUGUUUUCUACUGGUAAUAGUCUUCAUCGAAUGUACUUUUUCCUGCAGUUUGACUCUGCUAUGAAGCACAGAUACAGGCGUACAGGAGUUACUUGGACUUUUCUUUAAAUAUGAAACUUUUAGUUUUUGCGACCAGCAAACUGAUUCACAUCUUUGACAAUAAUGAAUGCAAUCAGAGUCUACAAACUGACCCUGCAAACUAUAAUGUGUAGCGUACACAACAACUGUUCUUCUUUUGAAUGUUUUGGUUGAUUUUAUUGCAUGUGCAGGACUUGAAAUCACUAUUUGGAACAAUUUCAAUAAUUUCAGGUAUUGUAGCCUUGUACAAUAUUUGUUGAGUCCUUUCCUGACUUUUUGUAUGAUGUAAAAUCUUAUUUUGAUUUCUGAUUGUGAUUCCUUGGAAAGGUAGAAUGUAAUCCUAAUCACAGCGUGCAAUGAAACAUUGUAUAUCUAAAACGUUGGAUUUAUUCAUGUGGAGUUGACCUUUUUUUUGUGGUAAUUCUGAGUAUUUCCUAAAAAUUCCCCAACACAUCUGCUAAAGUUAAACGAAAUGCGUGUAGAGAAACAGUCUCUUCCUGUAAUGACUACAUCAAAGCUGUUAUAUUUACAUUUACAGGGGGAACUGUGCAGAACACAUCUACUCCAAGACCCUCGUAAUCAAAAACAGGAAGUAAAGCCAACCACACGUGACAUUCUGUAAAAUUCAGAACACACUCAAGCUUUACUGAAGUGGAUCAUUUUUCAGGUGCCCAGCAUGAAAUCUCACAGCUAUAAAGUCCUUUUUUAUGUGCUGGUCUUUGCGGCAUUCGCUGGCAGUCAGGAUGAUUACAAGAACUCACAUCCGGACAUAUUCCAAGUUUAUGCAUACCGUGUUUGUGGAGUUGUGCCUUUUCUCAUUAUAGUCAUAUAUAUGUGUGUGAAGUCACAUCUUGUGAUUAAAGGAAAAUGCCAGCAGAGAGUGUCUUCAGGUGCUUCACCUUCCAAUCACAUCUAUGAAAAUGAUCCUUAGUCUCCAUGUUUGAGCUCUGAUGCCAAUAUAAGAUCAACAGAAGAGCUUACGUGUCACAGCUGCUUUGUUGUGUCUUGUGGUUCUGAGUGUCGUCUCCAGUGGUUUACUUGUGCAUAUUAAUAAUUAACAUAAAUAAUUGUGCUGUUGAAAAUACCAUAAGCCAAGCUGGAAAGAUGUCAACGUGAAUGUGAGGCAGGUUUUGUUUAGUGUACAAAGAUGCGUGUGACAGAAGAUAGGUAAUAGUUAUGUUUCCUGUACAGGUAACACAUUUGCACACAUCCUGUACAAAACUUUCGAAAGUUUAUGGCUAGACUAGAAUACAAAGAGCAGAGUGUUGUCAUCUUCCUUUUACUUUAUUCAUGUUUCAAUAAGUCUUUUUGUUUUCUCACACGAGAUCAUGUAGGUCUGAAUUUUUCCACUUCAUAAUAAACGCCUUCAUUUAAACACUGUA